GCCCCCUGUCAGCCUGAGGUAUUUUCCUUAUAUGAUCAGGCCUCACGUGGCCGGCGCUGCUGGUCUGGAGCCUGAGAGGAUUAUGAAAACGUGGCAGGAUUUCCUGCUGUGCUGUUCUGGAAGACUAGGCUAGCCCCGAACUACGAGAUCCGCCUAAAUGCUGGGAUUAAAUGAGUGCUCCACCAU